rnacentral:rRNA from 1 species
GACGAACGCUGGCGGCGUGCUUAACACAUGCAAGUCGAACGGAAAGGCCCUGCUUUUGUGGGGUGCUCGAGUGGCGAACGGGUGAGUAACACGUGAGUAACCUGCCCUUGACUUUGGGAUAACUUCAGGAAACUGGGGCUAAUACCGGAUAGGAGCUCCUGCUGCAUGGUGGGGGUUGGAAAGUUUCGGCGGUUGGGGAUGGACUCGCGGCUUACCAGCUUGUUGGUGGGGUAGUGGCUUACCAAGGCUUUGACGGGUAGCCGGCCUGAGAGGGUGACCGGCCACAUUGGGACUGAGAUACGGCCCAGACUCCUAAGGGAGGCAGCAGUGGGGAAUAUUGCACAAUGGGCGGAAGCCUGAUGCAGCAACGCCGCGUGCGGGAUGACGGCCUUCGGGUUGUAAACCGCUUUCGCCUGUGACGAAGCGUGAGUGACGGUAAUGGGUAAAGAAGCACCGGCUAACUACGUG